GGCCUGGUGGUGCAAUGGUAGCACACCUUCUUUCAGUAUUGGCGUAGCAUAUGUGCUAGUGGGAGUUCCUUGUUCGUCUCAAGGCCAGGUUG